CGUUUCUUGUUUCCAGUUGUGCUUCUUUCCUAAUUAAACAAAAUUAUAGUGCUUUAAUCUCAAUUAACACUAAUCAUACUUAGUCGAAAUACAAAACGAAAAGAGGCGAGUGCAAAGCGGUGGUGAUCGGAGCACAAAAUGAAUGUCAACACUAAGCAAUGGCAGCUCUCUCAAUUUCAUCACCAGACCAAAUCCCACGUUUCAAAAUCUCAUUUCUUUAAUCGAAAUUGCUCUUUAAACCCUUCAGGUUUGAUUUAUUCAUCUGUAAUAUAGAAUCUUUCUUGUCAACUUUCUUGCUGUUAAACGCUGCGUAUGAUCGUCACUGAUUGUCGCAUAACAUUUUUUUUUUUCGGAGUUUCGUUAUGUGGGGUAGUCACUUCAAUCUAAACCCAAUUCUCAAUUGGUUGGGUGUUCAAGAUUUUUGGUGAGCAGAUGCUUAUCAGAGAAUUUAUCGAAUUCUCUUGAUUAAGUUUUGAGUCCAAAUACUGCAAACCAACACAAUAAGAUUGUUGAGCAGAAGUUUUCUAUUGUUAACAUCCUGAAGCAAGCAAAUUCCCUACUGCCUCAUGUGGUACUUGCUAGUACGCUGCUGGCUCUCUUUUAUCCACCCUCUUACACGUGGUUUACCACCAGGUUGUUGAAAGGUACAUAUGCUCCUGCAUUAGGGUUUUUGAUGUUUGCAGUCGGGGUCAAUUCCGGCAAAAAGGAUAACUGCUAUGGCUUUGGUGUGGCAAUAUGGGGAGAAAUCUGGGUUUGAAUCUUGGAAGGUGCUCUCUUGGGGCAUGGUACCUCUGCUUGGUGGAGCAUUUUGCGCCUGCACAUGGCAUUUCUUCUACAAUUCUGAGUCUCUAGAGGGAAGAAUAGCCGGGUCACUUUUUAUGUUAGUACCCUUUCUUGCUUACACCUGACAACCUUCUAAAUCUUAGAAAUGAAACUAAUUGAUUGAAAUACAGGAAAUAAAUGAAAUAAUCAAAUUGAACUUGGUUAAAUGAUGCAAUACUGGCUGACUUGAAUAUGAUACUCAGAAAUGAGAUUUUGGGAUCUGGAAAAUUGUGGUUGUUCUUGUACAGUCUGAUAACUGCAUCCGAAUAAAAUUUGUAGAGUAAAAUUGUGUAGUAUAUUGUUAUUUACAACUUUCACUCUUGUUCUGGCUAAUCACUAUUUUGAAAGUAGUAUGCAUGUCUUUACAUUAUCUGCAAUAAUACUAAUGCUUUGUGGCUGGUUGACAUAAAAAAAAAAAAACUAAUUUGGCCCUGAAUGCUUAUAAUUGACCAAAAUUUUAGCUUCUACUUUUGACAUCUAUGGCUAUUCAGAGCGUUUUAGACUAAUGAAGCCUAACGAUGACCUAUUCUUUCACUCACUUGAUACUUCCUCGUUCAACAAACUUUUUCUGUUGAUGUGCUUGCGUGCAGUCCGUGCACGGGGAAUCUCCACCUUUUUGUAUAUCUCAUGCUACAGAAAAGUUCAUACUUCAGAAAUACCGUUAAAUGAUGCUGAAACCUGAUUAACAUUAGAUGUACUUAUUUUGUACUGUGCAUAAUUGCAAGAACAGUUGUGCUAGACUCUACGCUAUUUCUUGGAUUGGACCUUUCUAAAUUUGAUCUUGCCAUCUCUAAAAAAAUUCAUGACGAGUUGCAGGUAUUGGUGGCUCUUCAAGCAGCACUAACGGUAGUGGGUAAUGCCACCAUGUGCAUCGCUGCAUUUCGUAUAUACAAGUCAGUGGAGGAGCGGCCGAAGAAUCUGUGAGUGUUUCCAAGUCUGCAUGCCAUUAUAUGCGCCUGAGUGAAAGCCUGUUUUUCUUAUUGAUGAAUCAAUUAUGCGGUAAGGCGGCUUUGCAUGCUGAAAUAGUGAAACGCUGUUAUUUUGACUGAAACGCUGCUGCUUAUCAGCUGGUGUAUCAUGAGUAGACCAUAUGAACCUGAAGCCUCCAUGAUUAUAAAAGAUUUCGUUGGAGAUCGUUCCGACUUGCCAUUAUGAGCUAUUUUGACAUACUGCUAAGGCAAACAAGAAAGAAGAAGCUAUUGGGUUGUUACUGAUAUGUAAACUUGGGAGGCUGAAAAAGGUGUAGUAGCAUUAUUAAAUGUUUUUUUUUUUUUUGAGAGAACAUUAUUAAAUGUUAAUCAAGUAUAAAUAUGAACUUAUUAAGCGUGCUGUAUCUUUUGAAUACCAUUCUAUGGAGAUAAAUGUUGCUUAA